rnacentral:rRNA from 1 species
UACGAAGGGGGCUAGCGUUGCUCGGAAUGACUGGGCGUAAAGGGCGCGUAGGCGGCUUACAUAGUCAGGCGUGAAAUUCCUGGGCUCAACCUGGGGGCUGCGUUUGAUACGUGUAGGCUUGAGUUCGGAAGAGGGUCGUGGAAUUCCCAGUGUAGAGGUGAAAUUCGUAGAUAUUGGGAAGAACACCGGUGGCGAAGGCGGAUCUCUGGGCCAUUACUGACGCUGAGGAGCGAAAGCGUGGGGAGCGAACAGG